GGCGGAGGUUUCCGAAGAGGAAGGAGCCGCCGCCAUUUUGGGAGCUUCGAGUCAACAAUAAAGGACCGAGGGUGCGGAGCGGGAGUGGCCUCGGCGGUAGGACUCGAGCCCGAGCCGCGGGACGUGGGGGAUUGAAGUGAGUGAAUUCAGAUAUACUUCAAGCUUGUUAGAGGGCUUAAAAAAUAGAGUUGAUUCGGUGCAUGAGAGCAAGUUAACUACUGCUGCCUGCCGUUCAGAGACUUACAGGUGCUUGCCUGAAUUGCAAUAAAGGACUCAUAUAUUGAGCAAGACUUAUUUAUCUCUUCAUUUUGGAGAGCCUCAUAAACUGUUAUUACAGUUUCUCUACUGACUUUCAAAAAUUUUGAAGUUUGAAAGAGACACCUUUGCAGUUAACAAAGCAUGAGCACGGCCAGAACAGAGAACCCUGUUAUAAUGGGUCUGUCCAGUCAGAAUGGUCAGCUGAGGGGCCCUGUGAAGCCCAGUGGUGGCCCUGGAGGAGGGGGCACACAGACACAGCAACAGAUGAACCAGUUGAAAAACACCAACACAAUCAAUAACGGCACUCAACAGCAAGCACAGAGCAUGACCGCCACUAUUAAACCUGGUGAUGACUGGAAAAAGACAUUAAAACUCCCUCCAAAGGAUCUAAGAAUCAAAACUUCGGUAAGUUGGGUUGUAGAAUUCAAAAAUGGAAGAAUGGGGCAAUUACAAGUAAAGUAGUU